rnacentral:tRNA from 1 species
GGGGAUUUAGCUCAGUGGUAGAGCACUUGCCUAGCAAGCACAAGGCCCUGGGUUCGAUCCCCAGCCCCG